rnacentral:misc_RNA from 1 species
CCAAUAGCGUAUAUUAAAGUUGUUGCAGUUAAAAAGCUCGUAGUUGAACUUCGGGGUUCACCCAUUGGUCAGGCUUAAUUGUCUGUACUGGUGAGAUGAGUCUCUACCUUCUGAGGAACUUUCAUGCCAUUUAUUUGGUGUGAUUGGAAAUCAGGACUGUUACUUUGAAAAAAUUAGAGUGUUUAAAGCAGGCUAACGUCUGAAUACAUUAGCAUGGAAUAAUGAAAUAGGACGGAUUGAUUCUAUUUCGUUGGUUUCUAGGAUCACCGUAAUGAUUAAUAGGGAGAGUUGGGGGCAUUAGUAUUCAAUUGUCAGAGGUGAAAUUCUUGGAUGUAUUGAAGACUAACUACUGCGAAAGCAUUUGCCAAGGAUGUUUUCAUUAAUCAAGAACGAAAGUUAGGUGAUCGAAGACGAUCAGAUACCGUCGUAGUCUUAACCAUAAACUAUGCCGACUAGGGAUCGGACGCAGUUAAUUUUAUAAUGACGUGUUCGGCACCUUACG